rnacentral:rRNA from 1 species
GGAUCAUUAAAGAGACGUUGCCCUUCGGGGUAUACCUCCCACCCUUUGUUUAUUAUACCUUUGUUGCUUUGGCGGGCCCGUCCUCGGACCACCGGCUUCGGCUGGUCAGCGCCCGCCAGAGGACCUAAAACUCUGUUUGUUCAUAUUGUCUGAGUACUAUAUAAUAGUUAAAACUUUCAACAACGGAUCUCUUGGUUCUGGCAUCGAUGAAGAACGCAGCGAAAUGCGAUAAGUAAUGUGAAUUGCAGAAUUCAGUGAAUCAUCGAAUCUUUGAACGCACAUUGCGCCCCCUGGUAUUCCGGGGGGCAUGCCUGUUCGAGCGUCAUUACAACCCUCAAGCUCUGCUUGGUAUUGGGCUCUGCCGGUCCCGGCAGGCCUUAAAAUCAGUGGCGGUGCCAUUCGGCUUCAAGCGUAGUAAUUCUUCUCGCUUUGGAGGCCCGGGUGCGUGCUUGCCAGCAACCCCCAAUUUUUUCAGGUUGACCUCGGAUCAGGUAGGGAUACCCGCUGA